rnacentral:rRNA from 1 species
GACGAACGCUGGCGGCGUGCUUAACACAUGCAAGUCGAACGGAAAGGCCCUGCUUGCAGGGUACUCGAGUGGCGAACGGGUGAGUAACACGUGGGUGAUCUGCCCUGCACUUCGGGAUAAGCCUGGGAAACUGGGUCUAAUACCGGAUAGGAGCCAUUUUUAGUGUGAUGGUUGGAAAGUUUUUUCGGUGUAGGAUGAGCUCGCGGCCUAUCAGCUUGUUGGUGGGGUAAUGGCCUACCAAGGCGGCGACGGGUAGCCGGCCUGAGAGGGUGGACGGCCACAUUGGGACUGAGAUCCGGCCCAGCCUCCUACGGGAGGCAGCAGUGGGGAAUAUUGCACAAUGGGCGCAAGCCUGAUGCGGCGACGCCGCGUGGGGGAUGACGGCCUUCGGGUUGUAAACUCCUUUCGCUAGGGACGAAGCUUUUUGUGACGGUACCUAGAUAAGAAGCACCGGCUAACUACGUG